rnacentral:lncRNA from 1 species
CGCAGCAAGGGCCAGACUCUGCGCUAGCAGGCGCUGCGCGCCAACCGGCCGGCACCUGUCGCAGAAGGUGCAACCGAUCGCACUGUCGCGCAGAAGCUCCUCAAUGGCCAGCGCCAGCUGCAGCCCCGGCCGCCCACUCGCCUCAUCUGAGCCUGGGCAAAUCUGGAUUGGGAAAGUUGACAUUAAUCAACUCAUUAUUCCUCACAGAUUUGUAUUCUCCAGAGUAUCCAGGUCCUUCUCAGAGAAUUAAAAAGCCUGUACAGGUCUAGAUAUUGGUAUUUUUAAUUGAUGAUAAGCUGGAAUAAUAUUAAUACACACAAAGCACGUGUUGUAACUUUCAUUAUGCUUCCUUAGAGCGCUGCUCUAAGCUGUUGAUGAAAAAUAUUGUUGGUGAGCUCUGCUUAGGUAAUAUAUAGGACAUGAGCAGAGAGGAGGCACGUGAACAGUUCUGGCCUGGAGUAGGCUUCAUUGAGGCUGUGAUGCUUUUAGCUGGAUUUGAAGAAGUGGUAGUGAUCAUCCCAGUGCACAGGAUAGGUGGACAGUCUAUGUAUUCUGAGCAGUAACUCAUAUAUCUCAUACUGCAAGACCCCAAAGGAGUAAUUUUGUGAACUCUGUUCACGGAAAGGGCCUGGGAGCUGCAACACCUCAACAGCAACAAGCACACCUGCUACCUAGAACUUGGUUUCUAAAAACCAUCCUCCUCUAAAAGGAAACAGAGCUCUUUGAAGAAACGCAGAAGGUAAGCAUGAGCAAAUUACUUUUUAGAGGUAACUUUGCUGAACUUGUGAAGAAUGGUGUGCAAGGUCCAGAGCGACUGCAGGAGAGGGAAGGUGGGAUUCCCACAGAGCAGGAGCACAGAUAAGCCAAGCAAGGCCCUGCUUGGAAGGCAGCAAUCAACAGAGAUGCACAGACCUGUGAGGGUGCCGGGACAGCCAUGCAACAAUGCAGCCCUUUUGCUUCCUGAGCUCACCAGUUCCCUCGCUCCACCUCUGAGAGGUGGUUUGGAGAAACACAGCCCUUCUCAAGAGGGCUGCAAGAGCAGACCACAAAGAGCAUGUCUGGACCUAGAACCACAGCAUGUAACCUCGGAAGCAGUGAGACACCAGCCAGCAUGGACAAGCAGCAGGCACUUGCUCUAUACCAGAUAGGUCCCACCUCCAGCCUUCCCCUGCUGCCAUCUAACAUCCUAAACUCCAGCUCUGAAUGUCUGUCUCCU